UACGUAGGGCGCGAGCGUUGUCCGGAAUUAUUGGGCGUAAAGAGCUCGUAGGCGGCUUGUUGCGUCUGCUGUGAAAUCCCGGGGCUUAACCCCGGGCGUGCAGUGGAUACGGGCAGGCUGGAGGCAGGCAGGGGAGAAUGGAAUUCCCGGUGUAGCGGUGAAAUGCGCAGAUAUCGGGAGGAACACCGGUGGCGAAGGCGGUUCUCUGGGACGGUACUGACGCUGAGACGCGAAAGCGUGGGGAGCGAACAGG
rnacentral:rRNA from 1 species